UAUGGCCAUUGGAACUCCGGUUCGCGUACGAUCACUGAAGUUAAGCAACAUUGAACCUGGUUAGUACCUACAUGGGUGACCGCAUCAGAAUAACAGGUGCUGUAA